rnacentral:rRNA from 1 species
CCCUAGUAACGGCGAGUGAAGCGGCAACAGCUCAAAUUUGAAAGCUAGCCUUCGGGUUCGCAUUGUAAUUUGUAGAGGAUGAUUUGGGGAAGCCGCCUGUCUAAGUUCCUUGGAACAGGACGUCAUAGAGGGUGAGAAUCCCGUAUGUGACAGGAAAUGGCACCCUAUGUAAAUCUCCUUCGACGAGUCGAGUUGUUUGGGAAUGCAGCUCUAAAUGGGAGGUAAAUUUCUUCUAAAGCUAAAUAUUGGCGAGAGACCGAUAGCGCACAAGUAGAGUGAUCGAAAGAUGAAAAGCACUUUGGAAAGAGAGUUAAAAAGCACGUGAAAUUGUUGAAAGGGAAGCGCUUGCAAUCAGACUUGUUUAAACUGUUCGGCCGGUCUUCUGACCGGUUUACUCAGUUUGGACAGGCCAGCAUCAGUUUCGGCGGCCGGAUAAAGGCUCUGGGAAUGUGGCCUCCACUUCGGUGGAGGUGUUAUAGCCCAGGGUGUAAUACGGCCAGCCGGGACUGAGGUCCGCGC